GUAGAGCGCACCCCUGAUAAGGGUGAGGUCCCUGGUUCGAGUCCAGGAUGGCCCACCUGAAAUCGGUUAAAAGUGAACAGUAAACAGUAGUCAGUCAAAAAAACUGGUAACUAGUAACUGAAACCUGAUAACUGAAUGAUGGGGGUUUAGCUCAGUUGGUAGAGCGCCUGCUUUGCAAGCAGGAUGUCAGCGGUUCGAGUCCGCUAAUCUCCACCUUGUGUAAAAAUCUGAAAACCUAACUAUUGACUGUUACUUAAAUGUAAACGGUUAUCUUAAGUUUUCUAUGAUGAAUAGCACAAUAUAUUUAAAUAGAUAUUUAAUUGGAACAAAGAUUCAGCAAUUGAUUGUUUAUUAAAAACAAUCGGACUGCUGGGUGAAAUUCCAGCCAGAACCUUGAAAACUGCAUAGUAACGCGAAAAAAGCAGGCAGACACAGACAUUUAGGUGAAAGUGUUUGCAGAGAAAAACCACUUGUAAAGU
rnacentral:tRNA from 1 species